AAAUGCAUUGAGCUGUCACAUUAGAGGAGCAACUCGAUACGUCAGUCCCCCGCUGCUAUCCCUCUCUCUGCCAUUCUCCAUUCAGCUUCACUGCUGCGCUCUGUUCUCCUACUGUCGCUCUCUUUUUCUUCUUCUGAUCACAUCACCUUCCUUCCAUUAGUGGACCCUAAGCAUUUUACUCAAAGUCGUGAAAGCAUUGAAAGCUCUCCUUUCUUCUGCUCGUUCUUUUUUGUCAAUCAAUUUCGAAGGUGUUGCUGCUGCGGAUGAUGUUGUUGCCUGUGGAUGUUGUUGGUGCUGCUACCGUUUGUCGUUGCGUGCACUUUUGUGGAAAUUGCUGUUGACGUUGGUUAUAUGGAAUACUUAUGGAUGGUGGCUUGGAUGCUAGGAUGCUUGGAUGCAUGGAUGCUGCUGAUUUACAUGUUUCUCUCUGCUCUGUUUAAUUGCCCGCACCCGGGCCCGGACCCGGACGCGAACACGAACGACAACGACUCCAUGGAGGAGGAUCCGGCAUAUGCUUGACCUAAUGGUGGGAUGGUUCCACAGUUCCUCCGGCUGGAUCUAUCACACGAGAGGUCUAUGACUCAUUUAUCAUGUGUCAGAAUGUUUAACUAAAUGGCACUUUGCCGAAAAAG